rnacentral:rRNA from 1 species
GACGAACGCUGGCGGCGUGCCUAAUACAUGCAAGUAGAACGCUGAAGGAGGAGCUUGCUCUUCUUGGGUGAGUUGCGAACGGGUGAGUAACGCGUAGGUAACCUGCCUGGUAGCGGGGGAUAACUAUUGGAAACGAUAGCUAAUACCGCAUAAUAGUAGAUGUUGCAUGACAUUUGCUUAAAAGGUGCAAUUGCAUCACUACCAGAUGGACCUGCGUUGUAUUAGCUAGUUGGUGAGGUAACGGCUCACCAAGGCAACGAUACAUAGCCGACCUGAGAGGGUGAUCGGCCACACUGGGACUGAGACACGGCCCAGACUCCUACGGGAGGCAGCAGUAGGGAAUCUUCGGCAAUAGACGGAAGUCUGACCGAGCAACGCCGCGUGAGUGAAGAAGGUUUUCGGAUCGUAAAGCUCUGUUGUAAGAGAAGAACGAGUGUGAGAGUGGAAAGUUCACACUGUGACGGUAUCUUACCAGAAAGGGACGGCUAACUACGUG